GCAAAAUGAAUAGUUUUAAUUUACAUAUUUUUGUGAUAUUUUGUAUUAAAUUUGCUCUUGGUGCUUUGCCAACAAGUCUAAAUGCAUGUCCAAAUAAAAGUACAGAGGAAUUCAACUCGUGUUUGCAAGAUCUCAUCAGUAAUAUCAAGACAAACCUGGCAACUGGAGACUUUGGAGAUGGCUUUAAAUUGCAACGACUUGAACCCUUAUUUACUAAGCAGAUAGUGAUUGACACACCAGAUUUGAAAAUUAAUAUGACUGAAAGCAAUUUGCUUGGGAUAUCUUCAUUUAAAAUAACAAGUGUAAAGUCAGAUUUACAAAAUUUACAGUUUGAUAUUGGUAUAUUUUCACCUAUACUUAAUUUUAAUGCGAAGUAUAGUUUGCACCAACAUUUCAAGUCACUUAAAGUGUAUGUUAAGGCUAUUGGAGAUAUAAGCGGAAUAUUUAAAAAAGCUCGUUCAAAGAUACGAAUCAAAUUUAUUGUGAAUGAUGAUUUAUCAGUCAAACUAGAGGAUAUUCAGUAUAAACUAAGAAUAGCAGAUGCUCAUUUUGAUAUUGAGUCAUUAAUCGUCAAAAGUGAUGAUUCUGAUACAAAUACUGGUACAAAUCGAAUAUUAUUGAAAGAAAUUGCAAACAACUUCAUUAAUGCUGACCCUGGAUUUAUUUUGAGAAAAGUUGAACCAAAGUUAGAGCAGCAUUUCAUGGCAUAUCUAACUGAACUGAUUUCAAAAUUGUUAAAGGAUGUAAAGUUAAAGGAUUUUUUUACUUUUUAGAAAUAGUUACUUAGGCUCUAAAAUGUUAUAGAAAUCAUUACUAACUAAUAAAGGAGCAUCUCGGUUUACAACAUAUUUAAUAUACCUACUGAUUUCAUAGUGUCAUUAAUAU